AAGAAAGUAAAUAAGGGCGCAUGGCGGAUGCCUUGGCUCUCGGAGGCGAUGAAGGACGUGAUAAGCUGCGAUAAGCUUCGGGUAGGUGCAAAUGACCUUUGAUCCGAAGAUUUCCGAAUGGGACAACCCGGCAUUCUGAAGGAAUGUCAUCCAACUUGGUUGGAGGCUAACGCAGGGAACUGAAACAUCUUAGUACCUGCAGGAAAAGAAAAUAAAUAAUGAUUCCCCUAGUAGUGGCGAGCGAACGGGGAUUAGCCCAAACCACCCAUGUUACGGCAUGUGUGGGGUUGUAGGACCACGCUCUCGCAAGACAGUUAUUGAGAAGAAACGGCUGGAAAGUCGUGCCAUAGACGGUGAUAGCCCGGUAUUCUAAGGUAACCGAAGCGUAGUGGUAUCCUGAGUAGCGCGGAGCACGAGGAAUUCUGCGUGAAUCAGCCGGGACCAUCCGGUAAGGCUAAAUACUCCCGAGAGACCGAUAGCGAACCAGUACUGUGAAGGAAAGGUGAAAAGCACUUCGAAUAGAAGAGUGAAAUAGUCCCUGAAACCAUGCGCCUACAAGCGGUCGGAGCAGCGUAAGUUGUGACGGCGUGCCUUUUGCAUAAUGAACCUACGAGUUACUUUUUCCGGCAAGGUUAAGCAUCUUGAGAUGUGGAUCCGAAGCGAAAGCGAGUCUGAACAGGGCGGAUAGUCGGAAGGAGUAGACGCGAAACCAAGUGAUCUACCCUUGGGCAGGUUGAAGGUUAGGUAACACUAACUGGAGGACCGAACCGAUAAGCGUUGAAAAGCUUCCGGAUGACCUGAGGGUGGGGGUGAAAGGCUAAUCAAACUUGGAGAUAGCUCGUACUCCCCGAAAUGCAUUUAGGUGCAGCCUUGAGAGUUACUAAUGUGAGGUAGAGCGACUGAUAAGAUGCGAGGGCUUCACCGCCUAUCAAGUCUUGAUAAACUCCGAAUGCGCAUUAGUUCUAUCUCAGGAGUGAGGGCAUGGGUGCUAAGGUCCAUGUCCUAAAGGAGAAGAAUCCAGACCAUCAGCUAAGGUCCCCAAAUAAACACUAAGUUGAACUAACGAAGUCAGAUUGCUAAGACAGCUAGGAUGUUGGCUUGGAAGCAGCCAUUCAUUUAAAGAGUGCGUAACAGCUCACUAGUCGAGGAGUUUGGCGUGGAUAAUAAUCGGGCAU
rnacentral:rRNA from 1 species